rnacentral:rRNA from 1 species
UUCCGGUAACUCCGGUAUAGCCUUUCGAAAGAAAGAUUAAUCCCGGAUAGUAUGGUGAUUCCGCAUGGUUCUCCAUUAAAGGAUUCCGGUUACCGAUGGGAUGCGUUCCAUUAGGCAGUUGGCGGGGUAACGGCCCACCAAACCGUACGAUGGAUAGGGGUUCUGAGAGGAAGGUCCCCCACAUUGGAACUGAGACACGGUCCAAACUCCUACGGGAGGCAGCAGUGAGGAAUAUUGGUCAAUGGGCGGAAGCCUGAACCAGCCAAGUAGCGUAGAAGGAUGACUGCCCUAUGGGUUGUAAACUUCUUUUAUAAGGGAAUAAUUGCGGGUACGCGUACCUGUUUGCAUGUACCUUAUGAAUAAGGAUCGGCUAACUCCGUGCCAGCCGCUGC